ensembl:snoRNA
AUCCCUCUAUAGUUUAUAAGUAUGGUGAUUGGGCUUCAUACUCAUGUGUGAGAUGUGCCUCCCUCAAACUGUCUCAUAGCACCAAUAUGUGACCCAUCCCAUG